AUUGAACGCUGGCGGAAUGCUUUACACAUGCAAGUCGAACGGCAGCACGGACUUCGGUCUGGUGGCGAGUGGCGAACGGGUGAGUAAUGUAUCGGAACGUGCCCAGUCGUGGGGGAUAACGUAGUGAAAAUUACGCUAAUACCGCAUACGAUCUAUGGAUGAAAGCGGGGGAUCGCAAGACCUCGCGCGAUUGGAGCGGCCGAUAUCAGAUUAGGUAGUUGGUGGGGUAAAGGCCCACCAAGCCAACGAUCUGUAGCUGGUCUGAGAGGACGACCAGCCACACUGGAACUGGUACACGGUCCAGACUCCUACGGGAGGCAGCAGUGGGGAAUUUUGGGCAAGGGGCGAAAGCCUGAUCCAGCCAUUCCGCGUGCAGGAUGAAGGCCCUCGGGUUGUAAACUGCUUUUGUACAGAACGAAAAGGUUUCUACUAAUACUAGGAGCUCAUGACGGUACUGUAAGAAUAAGCACCGGCUAACUACGUGCCAGCAGCCGCAGUAA
rnacentral:rRNA from 1 species